CAGUAGCCGCGGGAAUACGAGGGGGGCAAGCGUUGUUCGGAAUUAUUGGGCGUAAAGGGUGCGUAGGCGGUUUGGCAAGUUUGGUGUGAAAUCUUCGGGCUCAACUCGAAGUCUGCAUCGAAAACUGCCGGGCUUGAGUAUGGGAGAGGUGAGUGGAAUUUCCGGUGUAGCGGUGAAAUGCGUAGAUAUUCGGAGGAACACCAGUGGCGAAGGCGGCUCACUGGUCCAUUACUGACGCUGAGGUGCGAAAGCGUGGGGAGCAAACAGGAUUAGAUACCCCCGUAGUCCCUGUCUCUUAUAC
rnacentral:rRNA from 1 species